CGUCUAUAUACGUAUAGCAUAUCAAUAAGCGGAGGAAAAGAAACUAACAAGGAUUCCCCUAGUAACGGCGAGUGAAGCGGGAAGAGCUCAAAUUUGAAAUCUUAAAGGGUUUCCCUUUACGAAUUGUAGUUUAAAGAAGUGUUUUCUGUUGAGGUUUUGGUAAAAGUUCUUUGGAAUAGGACAUCAUAGAGGGUGAGAAUCCCGUAUUUGACCUUUACUUUCUAACUUUGUGAUACACUUUCAAAGAGUCGGAUUGUUUGGGAAUGCAGUCCAAAAUGGGUGGUAAAUUUCAUCUAAAGCUAAAUAUUGGCGAGAGACCGAUAGCGAACAAGUACCGUGAGGGAAAGAUGAAAAGAACUUUGAAAAGAGAGUUAAACAGUACGUGAAAUUGUCAAAAGGGAAGCGUUUGACACCAGUGUUGUUUUUCUGAAAAUCAAUUAAAGAACUGUUUAUGCUAAGCUGUUUAGACUUUAUCAGCUAUCUGUUUAGUUUUGAGCUUUUCUUUAAUGCACUUUUCAGUUAACAAGUCAACAUCAAUUUCUUUUGCUGUAAAAAAGCUUGAGGAAGGUGGCUUGAGAUUCGUCUUAAGUGUUUAUAGCCUCUUGCCUAUGCAGUCGGAGAGAUUGAGGUCUGCAGCGUAGAUCCUUCGGGGCUAAUGCAUUUGUGCUAAGUUAUAGCAUUUUAUAGACAACUUGUUGACUAUGAUUUGUCUUGUAGCUUACUCGCUUAUGUUAUUUUACCUACGCUUAGGAUGUUGAUCUGAUAUGUAGUCGUA
rnacentral:rRNA from 1 species